rnacentral:rRNA from 1 species
CGCAAGCCUGACGGAGCAAGACCGCGUGCGGGAUGACGGCCUAAUGGUUGUAAACCGCUUUUCUCUGGGAAGAUGAUGACGGUACCAGAGGAAUCAGCCUCGGCUAACUCCGUGCCAGCAGCCGCGGUAAUACGGAGGAUGCAAGCGUUAUCCGGAAUUAUUGGGCGUAAAGCGUCCGCAGGUGGCCGAUCGUGUCUGCUGUUAAAGACUAGAGCUCAACUCUGGAAAGGCAGUGGAAACUGAAUAACUUGAGAGCGGUAGGGGUAGAGGGAAUUCCCGGUGUAGCGGUGAAAUACGUAGAUAUCGGGAAGAACACCAGUGGCGAAGGCGCUCUACUGGGCCGCGACUGACGCUGAGGGACGAAAGCUAGGGGAGCG